rnacentral:tRNA from 1 species
AACAGAAAANAGUUUAAUUA